GACGAACGCUGGCGGCGUGCUUAACACAUGCAAGUCGAACGGAAAGGCCCUGCUUUUGUGGGGUGCUCGAGUGGCGAACGGGUGAGUAACACGUGAGUAACCUGCCCUUGACUUUGGGAUAACUUCAGGAAACUGGGGCUAAUACCGGAUAGGAGCUCCUGCUGCAUGGUGGGGGUUGGAAAGUUUCGGCGGUUGGGGAUGGACUCGCGGCUUAUCAGCUUGUUGGUGGGGUAGUGGCUUACCAAGGCUUUGACGGGUAGCCGGCCUGGGAGGGUGACCGGCCACAUUGGGACUUAGAUACGGCCCAGACUCCUACGGGAGGCAGCAGUGGGGAAUAUGGCACAAUGGGCGGAAGCCUGAUGCAGCAACGCCGCGUGCGGGAUGACGGCCUUCGGGUUGUAAACCGCUUUCGCCUGUGACGAAGCGUGAGUGACGGUAAUGGGUAAAGAAGCACCGGCUAACUACGUG
rnacentral:rRNA from 1 species